rnacentral:rRNA from 1 species
AGAGUUUGAUCCUGGCUCAGGAUGAACGCUGGCGGCGUGCCUAACACAUGCAAGUCGAACGAAGAGCAUGGACCGGAUCCUUUCGGGGUGACGGACCAUGAUACUUAGUGGCGGACGGGUGAGUAACGCGUGGGUAACCUGCCCAGUACAGGGGGACAACAGCCGGAAACGGCUGCUAAUACCGCAUAAGCCUGUAAUGUCGCAUGACAUAUCAGGAAAAACUCCGGUGGUACUGGAUGGGCCCGCGUCUGAUUAGCUUGUUGGGGGGGUAACGGCCCACCAAGGCAACGAUCAGUAGCCGGCCUGAGAGAGUGACCGGCCACAUUGGGACUGAGACACGGCCCAAACUCCUACGGGAGGCAGCAGUGGGGAAUAUUGCACAAUGGGGGGAACCCUGAUGCAGCAACGCCGC